AAACCGGGAGAUAGCUGGUUCUCCCCGAAAGCUAUUUAGGUAGCGCCUCGUGAAUUCAUCUCCGGGGGUAGAGCACUGUUUCGGCUAGGGGGCCAUCCCGGCUUACCAACCCGAUGCAAACUGCGAAUACCGGAGAAUGUUAUCACGGGAGACACACGGCGGGUGCUAACGUCCGUCGUGAAGAGGGAAACAACCCAGACCGCCAGCUAAGGUCCCAAAGUCAUGGUUAAGUGGGAAACGAUGUGGGAAGGCCCAGACAGCCAGGAUGUUGGCUUAGAAGCAGCCAUCAUUUAAAGAAAGCGUAAUAGCUCACUGGUCGAGUCGGCCUGCGCGGAAGAUGUAACGGGGCUAAACCAUGCACCGAAGCUGCGGCAGCGAACGUAUCACUUAAAGCGAUUCAGCGGGUUACGAUUGACGGAGCGAAGCGACGUCAAAGCGUAUACAAAGUCGAGUCGGUUUAAGGAUACGUUCGUUGGGUAGGGGAGCGUUCUGUAAGCCUGUGAAGGUGGCCUGUGAGGGUUGCUGGAGGUAUCAGAAGUGCGAAUGCUGACAUAAGUAACGAUAAAGCGGGUGAAAAGCCCGCUCGCCGGAAGACCAAGGGUUCCUGUCCAACGUUAAUCGGGGCAGGGUGAGUCGACCCCUAAGGCGAGGCCGAAAGGCGUAGUCGAUGGGAAACAGGUUAAUAUUCCUGUACUUGGUGUUACUGCGAAGGGGGGACGGAGAAGGCUAUGUUGGCCGGGCGACGGUUGUCCCGGUUUAAGCGUGUAGGCUGGUUUUCCAGGCAAAUCCGGAAAAUCAAGGCUGAGGCGUGAUGACGAGGCACUACGGUGCUGAAGCAACAAAUGCCCUGCUUCCAGGAAAAGCCUCUAAGCAUCAGGUAACAU
rnacentral:rRNA from 1 species